UUUCCGUUCCGCACAGUUCCGCUUCCGUUUUCGUUCCCACAUCUCCCCACCUCCUCCCCUCGCCGGAAAACCACCUUUCUUCGCCGGAAAGCCCCUUCUCCUCGCCGGGAAUCGCCUCGCACGGCCUCUUUCUAGACUUUUCUCUUGCUUGCUUCGUGGGGAGCCUUCAAAUUCUUGGUGGCGGCUCCACUGCCGUGACGCCGAAGGGAAGCUCCGGAUCUCGUCUCGAUUCGGUGCCGGGAGGGGAAUGUGGCCUUUGCUUUUGGAGUGGAGGGCGGUUCUUUGAUAUCUUUCGGCGGUGUUGCUUGUCUUCCUGCAGAGGAUUUGUAAUUCUUGCGGCAGAUUUCUUGAUUCGGCAGACAGUGGAGGGGUCACGGAUCCGCGGAUCCGCGAUCGAUAUGAGAUGGUGGAAGGAAGGGCUUGUUUAUCUAGAGAAGUUAAAAAUGGGCUAGAAAUUUUGAAGCGCAAAAGGCUUCAAAAGAUGAAGUCAGGUACUGUGCCUGAAGCGACUAAUGCUGGCAGUAUGAUGUCUAGAAGUGGAGGUGAUGCAUUAAAAGCUUCUGCAUCAUGUGGAGUGAGAAUGCAUGGACAUGCAAAUGCAUUUUCUGUUGGCACUUGUCCUGUUAAGGAUGCUUUUUCAAAGCACAAAGUGGAAAAGUUUGACUUGUCUAACUUAGAAUGGAUUGAGAAGAUCCCAGACUGCCCUGUAUUCUACCCCACAAAGAUGGAGUUUGAGGAUCCGCUAAAUUAUCUCCAGCAGAUUGCUCCUGUGGCAUCAAAAUAUGGUAUAUGUAAGAUUAUUUCCCCUAUUAGCGCUUCUGUACCUGCUGGUGUCGUCUUGAUGAAGGAGCAAGCUGGAUUUAAGUUCACUACUAGAGUGCAACCUCUACGUCUUGCUGAAUGGGCUACCGAUGACAAGGUCACCUUUUUCAUGAGUGGAAGAAAGUAUACUUUUCGAGAUUUUGAGAAGAUGGCAAACAAGGUAUUUGCUCGAAGAUACUCUAGUUCUGGAUGCCUCCCAGCUAAGUACAUGGAAGAACAAUUUUGGCAUGAAAUUGCUUUUGGCAAGACAGAGUCUGUUGAAUAUGCAUGUGACAUUGAUGGUAGUGCCUUCUCAUCCUCUCCAAGCGAUCAGCUUGGAAAAAGCAAAUGGAACUUGAAGAGACUUUCUCGGCUGCCCAAGUCUACACUGAGGCUUCUGGGGACAGCAAUUUCUGGAGUAACAGAUCCAAUGCUCUACAUCGGGAUGCUUUUCAGCAUGUUUGCUUGGCAUGUGGAAGAUCACUAUUUGUACAGCAUUAACUAUCACCAUUGUGGAGCAUCUAAAACAUGGUAUGGAAUUCCAGGCCAUGCUGCCUCAGAGUUUGAAAAGGUUGUUCGUGAGCAUGUUUAUGAUCAUGAAAUUUUGUCCGGUGAAGGAGAUGAGGCAGCAUUUGAUAUACUCUUGGGAAAGACUACAAUGUUUCCUCCAAGUAUUCUUUUGGAACAUAAUGUUCCUGUUUAUAAAGCUGUACAAAAACCUGGAGAGUUUGUUAUCACCUUUCCUCGAGCUUUUCAUGCAGGCUUCAGUCAUGGUUUCAAUUGUGGAGAGGCAGUCAACUUUGCUAUUGGUGAUUGGUUCCCCUUGGGGGCUGUGGCUAGUCAGCGUUAUGCACUUCUUAAUAGGACACCAUUACUUCCUCAUGAGGAGCUUCUUUGCAAGGAAGCAGUGCUUCUUUCUAAGAGGCUGUCAAAUGCUGAUUCCAAAGAGCCUUCUGAAGCUUUCGACUCCCAACACAGCAUUAAGGUUUCUUUUGUGCAUUUAAUGCGGUUCCAACACCGUGCUCGUUGGUCGCUCAUGAAAAUGGGAGCUCGCAUGUGCUAUAAUUCAGAUUUUCCUUUAUUGGUGCCAUGCAGCAUCUGCCGGCGUGAUUGUUAUGUUUCUUAUGUGAAAUGUAACUGCCAUGUGGGUCCUAUCUGCCUCCGUCAUGAGAAAGAGCUGAGGAAUUGCCCUUGUGGCCAUAAUCACGUUGUGUAUUCAAGGGAGGACAUUCUCAAUUUGGAGGAUGUGUCAAAAAAGUUUGAGCAGGAGGAUGGAAUACUAGAUGAGGUCCAAAAGCAAGCACUAGAAGGUGAUGGGUCAUGCCCACAACCAAACUUGUUCCAAUGCACUGAAGGUGGUGGAUACAAGCCAUACUGCGAGAUAAAGUUUGAAGCAAGCCCUGAUGCACAUGAAGAGGGCACGUUGCAUAACAACGGAUAUACAAAUUCUAGUAGCAUGACAUUUACUUGGACCAAGAGUUCUGAGAGGGUGUCAGCUGGUGAAUCUGAAUCUGCAGUAUCAGUUACAUCUGACAAAACUGCUUCUGCUAACAAAGCUGGUCCUCAUAACAUUUUAAGUGUACAAGAAAGUGAUGAUUCUGAUUCAGAAAUGUUCAGAGUUAAGCGCAGAUCUAGCAUGAGCAUAGAGAAAAGAUCUGUUGGUGAGACAACAAUGCUUCCUGAACACCAGCUAAAGGACAGCACUCAGCAUCAAAAACCAAAGGGUAAAAAGGUAUUGAAACGACUGAAGAAGCUCCAUUCUGAAGGAAGACCCAUGCAUAUGUCAUCACCAGAAUAUGAACAUGAUAUGGCAAAUGCUAGUUCUGUUCCAAUCGUCCCUUCUAAACAGAUUCCAGAUCCUGUAUCUAGAAACAGGCUCGGGGGAGGAUUUCCAGUACCAAUAAAGAUUAGGCUCCUCCAACCAUUGGAGGGGAGGUUUACAAAUGAAGGAGAAGCUGUGAAAUUAAAAUUUAAUGGGAACCAAAAGGACAUUCUUCAAUGUAACAUUGUGGAGAACAUCAAGGAAUCACCAUCCAUAGAGAUUGGGCCAAAGCGCUUGAAAGUUAGAGGCCUUUCUUUUCCUAACAGUGCUGCCGAUGAAGGCAAUUCUAGCUGUAGACUGCUAGAAGGCAAAGAUUUAACUGGCAGGCAUGCAUUUUAAUGUUUUAAUGUAUGCCAUGACAGACUGAUGCUAACAACGAUUAUUGACAUGGCUCUAACUACGGGAAGCGAAGGCUCAACUUCAGAUGGUGGUUGAUUAACAGGGUUUGUUUCUAGCAUGGGGAGGAUUCACAUAAUUGAUUCUUUGUGCAAGCCUCAAAUUGAGGUGCUGGCAUGAUUCUGGAUUCAUUAGGGGUUCACACCUGUCUUUUUUUUUUUUCCAAAAAAUUUUUCCUUUUGUAUUGGGGCAGGGGACCUUGUGAAAUCAGGCAAAGGAAGAAAUUGUGGAACGUCAUUUGUAUAUCCUUGAUUGGUCAAUUCUUGUAGGGUGGGUAUUCCACUGUAUCAAGGGGUUGAUCUACUGCUGUUCCAAUUUAUUUUAUUCUUUUAUACAGUUAGUUCCAUACUAUGGAAGUAUGAAUAAAAAGCAACAGUAUUUGCAUCUGCCCUUUAGGGUGGUACAUUGGCGGCAGAGUGCUCUACACCUUAUUUGUUCAUUAUUUGUCAUAAAUUACAGGGCUGAAACUGAAGCUCUCCAGUUUGUGCAUGUAAAUGACAAAAUGGUCACUAAUGGUCCAAGAAACAUCAAUUUCUUUGGUGGGGAUCAAUCACAAUGGUCAGCACUGGAGCCUCGCCAAGCUCAUGCUCAAGGGGUGAUGGCAGCCAUCAAAGCUUUUUCUCACACGAUCGCGUCCUAUGAUGUUUGCACUCACAUGAUCCUAGUGAACUCGGUGGGUCUUACUGCUGGAGUUUGACAAGGCCCAAGGCAUCGCAUCCUGCGAUGACUUAAGCUGGUCAGGUUUGAGGGCUUUCCAGCAAUGUUAAUAUGCUUCAAUUGACCAACUUUAUAACUCCUGGAAUGCAAAUGCUACCAUGAGGUGCGAGACAUGGAAGGUAAGACGCUUUCAACUUGCUUUACGUGGGCUACAUAUGGCUUCAAUUCACAUUCAACAAAAGAUGGGACCAUGCUAGUUAUAACUGAAUUCUGGUAUACUGUUGGGGAAUUCUCUUGUAAUGUAAUAGUUUUAGAUAGCUCAAUUAAUAACAGCCAGUCAUUCUUAUCCUAUAUUGGUUUUUAAUAUAUAGUUUAUUCAGACCAA